CAGAAGGUAGUUUAUAUAAAAUAUUAACUUUGGGAGUUAGUGAAGGGUUGUAUCCUCUUUCUGA
rnacentral:tRNA from 1 species